AACGAACGCUGGCGGCAUGCCUAAUACAUGCAAGUCGAACGAUCUCUUCGGAGAUAGUGGCGCACGGGUGCGUAACGCGUGGGAAUCUGCCCUUGGGUUCGGAAUAACGUCGGGAAACUGACGCUAAUACCGGAUGAUGACGUAAGUCCAAAGAUUUAUCGCCCAGGGAUGAGCCCGCGUAGGAUUAGCUAGUUGGUGGGGUAAAGGCCUACCAAGGCGACGAUCCUUAGCUGGUCUGAGAGGAUGAUCAGCCACACUGGGACUGAGACACGGCCCAGACUCCUACGGGAGGCAGCAGUAGGGAAUAUUGGACAAUGGGGGCAACCCUGAUCCAGCAAUGCCGCGUGAGUGAUGAAGGCCUUAGGGUUGUAAAGCUCUUUUACCCGAGAUGAUAAUGACAGUAUCGGGAGAAUAAGCUCCGGCUAACUCCGUGCCAGCCGCCGCGGUAACAC
rnacentral:rRNA from 1 species